rnacentral:misc_RNA from 1 species
GUUAAACUCCAAGUGCAUCAGACUGAAGUUUUGACAAAGUGAAGAAACAGAUCAGCUGACAACGAGUUGCUGGAUUCUUCUGGUUUUUGACUUUUUUUUUUCUAUGAACUUUAAUCAGCAAGGAAAAAUUUUGAAAAGACAAAAAUACAAGUGGGGAUCUAAGGAAUGGGAGGUUUGGUAAUUUUGCACAGAGCGAUGGAACGUUGGCCCGAUUUUAGACUCUGAUACCAAAAAUUGAUGUAGAACAAAUAAAG